rnacentral:rRNA from 1 species
CGGGUUAACCUCGACCCAAGAGAGUCGGGAAUAACCACCGUAGGAAACAGAUGACUAAUACCGGAUAACAACAGAUGAUGCCUAUCAACUGUUUAAAAGAUGGUUCUGCUAUCACUCUUGGAUGGACCUGCGGUGCAUUAGCUAGUUGGUAGGGUAACGGCCUACCAAGGCGAUGAUGCAUAGCCGAGUUGAGAGACUGAUCGGCCACAUUGGGACUGAGACACGGCCCAAACUCCUACGGGAGGCAGCAGGC